UUGUCUCAAAGAUUAAGCCAUGCAUGUCUCAGUACAAGCCAAAUUAAGGUGAAACCGCGAAAGGCUCAUUAAAUCAGUUAUGGUUCCUUAGAUCGUACCAACAUUUACUUGGAUAACUGUGGUAAUUCUAGAGCUAAUACAUGCAAACAGAGCUCCGACCGUAGACGGAAAGAGCGCUUUUAUUAGAUCAAAACCAAUCGGCGGCGGGUCCGCUUGCGGGCUCGUCGUCGUUUUCAUUGACGAAUCUGAAUAACUUUCUGCCGAUCGCACGGUCUUGCACCGGCGACGCAUCUUUCAAAUGUCUGCCUUAUCAACUGUCGAUGGUAGGUUCUGUGCCUACCAUGGUUGUAACGGGUAACGGGGAAUCAGGGUUCGAUUCCGGAGAGGGAGCCUGAGAAACGGCUACCACAUCCAAGGAAGGCAGCAGGCGCGCAAAUUACCCACUCCCGGCACGGGGAGGUAGUGACGAAAAAUAACGAUACGGGACUCCUCCGAGGCCCCGUAAUCGGAAUGAGAACAAUUUAAAUCCUUUAACGAGGAUCAAUUGGAGCGCAAGUCUGGUGCCAGCAGCCGCGGUAAUUCCAGCUCCAAUAGCGUAUAUUAAAGUUGUUGCGGUUAAAAGGCUCGUAGUCGAAUCUGUGUCCCGGGGCGCCGGUUCGUCGCUCGCGGCGUUUAACUGGCGUUCCCGCUGGACGUACUGCCGGUGGGCUUAGCCCGCAAGGGCGGCCCAAUUAUAAUCCCGCCGCGGUGCUCUUCACCGAGUGUCGAGGCGGGCCGGCACGUUUACUUUGAACAAAUUAAAGUGCUUAAAGCAGGCUAAAACUUCGCCUGAAUACUUCGUGCAUGGAAUAAUGGAAUAGGACCUCGGUUCUAUUUCGUUGGUUUUCGGAACCCCGAGGUAAUGAUUAAUAGGAACGGAUGGGGGCAUUCGUAUUGCGACGUUAGAGGUGAAAUUCUUGGAUCGUCGCAAGACGUACAGAAGCGAAAGCAUUUGCCAAAAACGUUUUCAUUGAUCAAGAGCGAAAGUUAGAGGUUCGAAGGCGAUCAGAUACCGCCCUAGUUCUAACCAUAAACGAUGCCAGCUAGCGAUCCGCCGACGUUCCUCCGAUGACUCGGCGGGCAGCUUCCGGGAGACCAAAGCUUUUGGGUUCCGGCGGAAGUAUGGUUGCAAAGCUGAAACUUAAAGGACUUGACGGAAGGGCACCACCAGGAGUGGAGCCUGCGGCUUAAGUUGACUAAACACGGGAAACCUCACCAGGCCCGGACACCGGAAGGAUUGACAGAUUGAGAGCUCUUUC
rnacentral:rRNA from 1 species